GUUUAAACUUUAAAGGAUUAAGACAAUAUCCCAUUAAAAGCGUAGCUUGGUGCAAAUUAUAGAGUGAAUACAUAUAAAAGUAACAGAUUUAUAUUAAUUAAAACCUACACAGCUUAGAUUAGUGUGUUUAAUAGCGUGGAAAGGCUGGCAUAUUUCAAUUAAUGUGCGAAUCACAUAAAAUUUAAUUGGAUUUUAAAUCGGAUAUCAAUUUAGCAAGAGAGCAAGGGAGAAGAGAGCGGCUCACGCAUAAUUUAUAAAAAAAACUUUAAAAACCUUUUGAACAAUGGAAAAUACUCCCACUACGUCAACAAAAGCGCAGACCGAACAAGACAUGAUCCAAAUUCAUUGCGGAAAAUAUGGCCCCUUUAUUAUAUCUUAUUAUAAUUAAAGAGGGCCAGGUCAACCUUUUAGACGAGUACCACUUGCCGAAGCUGGAUCAUAAAGGGUUUCGUGACGCAACCUUGAAAGUGUUGGCGUUGGCGGCGGUGGGGAUAGAUGGCUUCAAAUUUAGAUACGUCUAUCUAAAAGUGGUUGAAGUGGGCACUCAAAUUUUAGGCGCCGCUCAAAUACAAUUCGCCAUCGAUAUGGUGUAUGAAAAAAUAAAGAGCCUCGGCUAUGAAGAAAAAUUAGUGGGUAUUGUGGCCGAUGGAUGCCCGGCCAACCCACGGCAUGAAGUGCGCGGCAUACCGGGCAUACCUUUCAUAUGGGAUGCCCAGCAUCGUCGGUCCAUAAAGUCAAAACAUUCAAGAGACGAUGCUAAAAUUCAAGAACUACAUAACAUGGAAUUCAUAAUGGAAAAUGUUCAGAAAAUUUUCACUAGCCUUGGCAGCUUUGGAGACCAAAACGAUAAAUUUUAUAUCGAAAGCCUAAGGGCGACUGUUGAAAAGCGCUUAUAUAUUCAAAGAAACCCAUUAAGUUGGAUAGCUUUACCAAAGAUAAGUUAGAAUACUUGGGAAAAAAAGCUAACAUUGAAUAUAAAAAUGUAUUAAGCUAUGCACUGCUGCUCCCAAGUUUUAAUGAUUCAAUUUGCAAAGACAAAUGAAAUUACAUUGCAAAAAUGUAUGCUGCGAUCCUUCUGAUCCUGACUCCGCGCUACGACAGAGUCCAUCGCUAA